AUCGGGAGAUCGAUGGACGGUUUCCGGGUUUGGGCCGCAAAACUCGAGGAAGGAUUCCGGCGGGAAUCGGGGUGGAGAGCCCGAGGAGAUCAAAGGACAGGUGGCAGGGUCGCAAAGAUUGCGUCGAGGCGAAGCAAAGUCGUGAAGUCGCCGGGUUCGUUGGAUGCUCCGAGAAAAAGAUGGACGAAAAUACCCCCGGGCGUGUAAUAGAAUUAAUUAUUAGUGUAGGGGUAAUUUAGUAAUUAAGUUGGAGACUUGAGUAGAAGAGAAAGGGGGGCACGGCACCUGACGAGGGCUCCUUCUCUCUCCCAUCGCCCCCUUCUGUUUUUCUUUUGUUCUUCUUGUUCCCCUCCUUCCUCCUCUCUCUAGGGUUAGAAUUUCAUCAUGAAUCUGUGAGAUUUUAUUCUGAAAUUGGAUCCGGGAAUGGAGGCCCUUCCCUCCUGUGCCCUCUGGGGUUUUUGAUUUGGAUUGAAUCGAGUUGUUUUUCUACUUGUGUUUCUUUCCCCUCUUUGGCUGUUUUGUUUCUGCAGUUCAGGAAGCUUCGUGCGCGCAGGGAGAACGGUGCCCUCUGGGGUGAUCUCCCAGCAGCAGGUGGAGGCCACCAUUGCAGCGGCGUUCUGCUCCUGCUGCGGGGCCAGGCGGGCCGCCGGCUGCUGUCAGCCACGGCCGGAGCGGCCGCACACAGCAGGUGCCAGGCAGCAGUUGCAGCCAGUAGCGGCACCUGGGACGCGCGGCCCCCUGCGGCUCUUGGCCCCCGCGCACGGAGGCAGGCGGGCUUGUACAGCAGGCCGCUAGCAAGCUGCAGUAGUAGGAGAGCACGCGGCACCAGGGUGAGGCACCAGCAUCGCGAGCAGGCACACGUUUGAUCCACGGCCGGGGCUUCGGCAAGCUCUAUAAUUUCUUCAGCAAGGUCAAAGGUUUUUUUUUCUUUCUCUGCUUGGCCAUCGAGCCAUUUGAUUUCUCUGUGCAGGUGCCCACGUCAAGCAUCAAGUGUGUGUUUUGUGUGGGAAAUUAAAGGUGAAUAUGAGGCUAAUUUUCAGCAAGUUGUUUCUCGCUCACAUCCUGUUCGAUGAAAUGUCAUACUUGGUUUUUCUUUUCCCGUUGAUUUUGCUAGGAUUGUUUUAGGCUCUGUGUGAUUAGUGAAUCAUGUUCUAAGCUUGUGCUCUAGGCUUUGUUUCAUGUUUUGUCUCUAGAUUCUUUUCGAGCUUUAAGUUUUUUUUCCUGCUUAAUCUAAAACCAGAAAAAGCAAAACAAAAAUUAGUUUAGCUGAGCAUGUGUUAGCUAGAUUUUAUUCCCAGUGUUUCUAGUUUUGUUUUUCUGUGGACUAACCCCUCUUUGCUUGAGUACUUGAGAUGGUUUCGCAUUAGUGAUUUUUCUCUGACCGGUUCUUGUGAGUUUCUGCAAGUGGGCGAGUCUUUUGUUCGAGUUUUUCACUGUUUUGCUUCCUCGUGUGUGUUCCGGCUACUGAGCGUGGGUAUUUCUAGUGCCGAUAGCCGUCCUGAUUAGUACCGGUACUGAUACUCACCGUUCGAGGCAUGUCAGGUGUAAUCGGGACCUUUUUCUCUCCGUUUUUGAAUCGGAUUUGAGGCUCCCAUUCACCCCCCUCUGGUCGCCUGUCCGGUCCUUCACACCUUCGUUGGAUUAGAUCUUGCUUGCUGCUUGUUUCGUUUAAUCUAGCCGCAUCAGUUAUUUUGUGGGAUUAUAUUCCACCGUUUGGAUAAGGAAACUAUAUGUGCACAAAUAUAUUCGAGACUCGAGAGAAUACAUACUAUGCGUGGGAGGAGAACAACCAAGAGAUACUCAAGGAGGAAAUAGCUAGCAGAUAGUAAAUGGGAAGAGACGAAGCUCUUGCAGUGUUGUAAAAUAUCUCUAUCUCUAGUAUUUCUAAAAUAAGAAAUGAUUACUUGGUUUGUCAAUCGGAAUUUUAAUUGGAACCCAGUUAUUUCCAUUUUGACAACGUUGGCGUGACCUGAUUUCCAUUUUGUAAUACUUGAACUGAACUGGCUGCUCUUUCAUCGAGAUAGGUAAUACUUCAUACCUUGCAAUCAUGAAGCUCUGCUAGAGAUGCUACUGAGAAUGGUGUGGGAGAAGUCGACUUACUUGUCUCCGGUGAAGGACCAUAUUGCCUUUUCUUGGUGGAACAAUAGGAUUUGCAACAACUUUUUCAAAUGGGGGUAGUGACGGUAGAGGAGGGACUGGUGGUCGAGGCUGCUCGAUCAAAAUUAAUAAUGCGCUCCUUUUGGUUUCGGGAGACUUAUUUGGAAGAGCUGUAAACAACAGCGUGCAAACUUUCAGACAUUUGUAGUCGGUGAUAUAAUAUUCAGUGCUGUUUUGACUUGAACUCUUAUGAUACAUGUUCUAAAGUAUGUUCCAUUUUUAGUUCACUAAAA